AGACGGUAAGUUCAGAAAUAGCCAGUCGCACAAACUCAUUUGAGCUGUGUUAUCCCCUCAGAGACAAGCUUCCAGGCCUGGAACCAAUUAAAGCAGGAGAAGCCCCUCCACAAGUCCACCAGAGGCGCUUUCGGCAUGGAGACAGAGGCAGGUGCUACUCUGGAGAAGUAAUCAACAGCACCUCUGUUCUAAGGGGUUUGAGUUGGAUGCCAAGGGUCGCCGUGUCAAGGUCACGUCAAGCAACAGUGAGCAACAGAUGCAACAGAUGGCAGAGCAAAUGCUACCUCAUACUGAGCCAGAUUUGCCAUCAGAGACUCAUGUGUCCAACACCUGCAGUUAGUAGAAGUUUCCCCUUCAAACACAUCUGAAACAAUUUCUGUGGUGUCUGAAUAGUUCCUCUGCCUGAGCCAAGAAUUCGCAGGCUUUUAAAAGGUCAGCUCUACACCAUUCGUUUAUUAUCCAUGUAUGCUCAGCUGGUGAAUUCUGUCUUUUAAGUGUAUCCUGGUGUCUAUCAGACAUCAGUCUACUUGAAAAUCACCUUUGCUCACUGUGAACUAGGAAUAUCUACCAGAUGUUGAGACAUCUGCUAAACAGUUUUUACACAUUUCCUCCUACAUGAAGUACAGUGAUCACAUGUGAACAAACAAGAUAAUGCAGAAAUGACAUGAAUUUAGACUUGUUGUCCAUUCACAUUGAUUAGUCUGGUUGACGUAUAUACCUGAAGACCGGUUCAUAUAUAACUAUAAUGAUAAAUACUGCCGUCCACAACAAUGCAGAAUAUCAUUGCAUGUUAUUUUUCAUAAUUUACUUUUAUUACAGUAAUGAGUGUGGAACAAGGACAUUGUAAAAAAGUGUUGCUUAAGUUUUGUUCAUUGCUAAUUCAUGUUUUUUAUUAAUACAAACAAUACAAUGUUAAUUUUUACAAAUGACAAAAAAUAUGUGUAGAAAUAAACAUUAUUUCGAAUCCGAGUACCA
ensembl:lncRNA